CUUCCAUGUACGGAAGUGCAGUUCCCUAUUUCUUGUUCAGAGGUCAAUGCUUGAAUCUGCGUUUUGAUAGUAUUCUGGAUAGAGUCUGAAAAGUCAGCUAUCAUGGCACGCAUUGCUCUCACAGUGACUGGUUGUUCCUCGGCAGUGGGGCCUGGUGAUGCAGGAGGUGACAGUGAGUUCUCUCUCGAUCUCGCCUUGCCGCCAUCUUGUUCCAUGGUGAGGCCUUCCUGCGGUUUAACUGCUGUGGCUUUUGCAAGGAAAAAUUAAGCUCAACCCGCCUUUACUGUUUUAGAUUUCUGUCGCUGGAAUAUUGUGUCACUGGGUGCUCGUUGCUGUGUGGUAUUUCGCUCCGUAGACCAUUUAUUUGGUGCUCUAUGCUGGUUGUGGAACGGGAGCUGCAGUUACAUGCGGCCGCUCGGCCUCAGCUUUAG